rnacentral:tRNA from 1 species
GCCUGGGUGGCUCAGGCGGUUGAGCGUCCGACUUCGGCUCAGGUCAUGAUCUCGCGGUCCGUGGGUUCGAGCCCCGCGUCGGGCU